GUCCAGGGAUGGGAAUCGAACCCACAGUGCUCCGCUUACCGGACAGAUGCCAUGUCCACUAUAUAGGGUACCCUGGA
rnacentral:tRNA from 1 species